rnacentral:rRNA from 1 species
CUACGGGCUGCUGCAGUGGGGAAUUUUGCGCAAUGGGGGAAACCCUGACGCAGCGAUACCGCGUGAGUGAAGAAGGCCUUUGGGUCGUAAAGCUCUUUUCUAAGGGAAGAUAGUGACGGUACCUUAGGAAUAAGCGCCGGCUAACUCCGUGCCAGCAGCCGCGGUAAUACGGAGGGCGCGAGCGUUGUUCGGAUUUACUGGGCGUAAAGGGCGCGUAGGCGGCCUGGCAAGUUAAGGGUGAAAUCCCGGGGCUUAACCCCGGAACUGCUCUUAAAACUGCCAAGCUAGAGAUGGUCAGAGGCGGGUGGAAUUCCAGGUGUAGAGGUGAAAUUCGUAGAUAUCUGGAGGAACACCGGUGGCGAAGUCGGCCCGCUGGGGCCAUUCUGACGCUGAGGCGCGAAAGCGUGGGGAGCGAACGGGAUUAGAUACCCCGGUAGUC